GUAAAAGCUGGUGACAAAUAAACACUUCUAAAACUGAUAACACUGUUUUGGAACCUAAUAACAGCUCUGAAGUGAUUAACAAGACAUUUUGCAAAUGU